UUGAAAUUUUGUUUUAUGACUAUUUUAGACAAAAGAUGUUUUUAGGUAAUUAGAUUGGGGUAUUUUCAUAUAUUUUAAAGUUGGUCUAGAUAUAUAGUUUCUCAUAACAUAAUGAACUUUCAUUUUUUAAAAAAAAACAUAAGCUUAUUACUUUUUUCUUAAUAUAUACUGAUAUCCAUAUUUACAAAUAAUAUUAUAUUUUUUUUACUACUAUACAUAUUUCCAAACACUUUCUAAAAGUACUUCUACUUCAAUAAGAUAGAUACUUUUGUGGCUUGUAUUUGUACUUGAUCCAAUCAAGUACUUUGUUAGUCAAGCACUUGUCUAUAUUUUAAAAUAUUUGGAAGUUGUUUGGUAAUAUUUGAUAUUUCUAUUUAAAAUUUUAAUAUGAAAUGUACCGAAGCUUAUAACUAUAGUUAAAUUUGGAAUGUGCACCCGCACGGGUGUUUACUUCAUCUGUUAUAUAAAUAUAUAUAUUUGUUGUAAGUUGAAAGUGUUAUAUUAUUAUUUUUUACUAAAUGUUAUUUUGUUUUUCUUAUAAGUAUAAUAUAUUAUAUUUUUCAAAAUAUGUUGCUAUUUGUUUUUCAUGUCAGCAUUAUAUAUCAUAUAUGUGUCAUUAUAUAAUUAAUCAUGUUUUAUAUCUAUCAUCAUAUAAGUAAUCAUAAAAUUAAUAGUAUUUUAUAUGUAUCAUCAUAUAAAUAAUCAUAUAUAUUAUAUAUUUAAAAAUUAAUGUGAAAUAUAAAACCAUAAUUUAAGUUGGUGUUUGAAAUUGGGGUAUGUAUUGUAUUUUUCUGAUAUAAAUUUAAAGCAAUUUUAUAAUGUUUUGUUGGAAAAUAUUUUAGUAAAAAUCAAUUUUUGAAUAGAUGUAUAUUUUGAAUCAAUUUUUGAUAUAAAACAAUUUUAAAUUAAUAUUUUGUUUUGAAAUAUGUAUAUAAAGUUUAAAUUUUGUUUUAUGACUAUUUUAGAAAAAAAGAUUUUUUUAGGUAAUUAGAUUGGGGUAUUUUCAUAUAUUUUAAAGUUGGUAGAUAUAUAGUUUUUCAUAACAUAAUGAAUUUUCAAUUUUUUUUAAUAACAUAAGCUUAUUACUUUUUUUCUUAAUGUAUACUGAUAUCCAUAUUUACAAACAAUAUUAUAUUUUUUUUUCUUACUGCUAUACAUAUUUCCAAACAAUUUCUAAAGAUACUUUUACUUUAAUAAGAUAGAUACUUUUGUGGCUUGUAUUUGUACGUGUUCCAAUCAAGUACUUUGUUAGUCAAGCACUUGUCUUUAUUUUAAAAUAUUUGGAAGUUGUUUGG
rnacentral:lncRNA from 1 species